rfam:Tomato chlorosis virus segment RNA 1, complete sequence.
UGAUCUACCUAAAUUACGUGUUAUACACGUAGACCUUGGUAGAUCUAGUAUAUAAAUAAAUAGGUC